AAGCCGCCCGGUGGAUGGCUCGGCUCGGGCGCCGAGGAAGGGCGCGGCAAGCGGCGAUAUGCCCGGGGUAGCCGCAGGCAGGCGUUGAUCCCGGGAUCCCCGAAUGGGGCUUCCCACCUGGGCCGAAUAGGCUCAGGUACCCCGUAGGGGGUGGGAACGCGGGGAACGGAAACAUCUUAGUACCCGCAGGAGGGGAAACCAAAAGGGACUCCCCGAGUAGGGGCGACCGAAAGGGGAGGAGCCCAAACCGAACCCCCAUGGGUUAACCGUGGGGGGAUGUGGUGUUUGGGCUUGGGUACCGCCGGGGUGGCCUAGCCGAAGUGGGCUGGAAAGCCCCACCGAAGAGGGUGAUAGUCCCGUAGGCUAAAGGCCGCCUGGCGGAGUCCCAAGGUCCCGGAGUACCACGGCUUGGUUUUGCCGUGGGAAUACGGGGGCCUCCAGCCUCUAAGGCUAAGUACGUCCCGAGUCCGAUAGCGAACAAGUACCGUGAGGGAAAGUGCUGGUUCCCAGGACGCGCAUGGCUUAGUUCAUUCAGCGACCCGCGGUUCAUUGGUUAAUUGUCUUACCUUCACCUAAACCCCACCGGUGGGGUUGGGGAUUGCCUGUAAUGGGCCUUGCCCAAAUGCCCGUUAAGCCGCGGGUCCAGGUGUUACGCAGUUUAGUCAUUGUGUUGCCUUACCUGGGGCCCGCACCCCUAGAGCUGAAAAGAACCCCGCAAGGGGUGUGAAAAGAGCCUGAAACCGGGCGGUUACAGGUGGGGUGGCCCUCAAGGAUAACCCCACCCGAAGGAAACCGGGGCGACCCGGGAGUACGAGGGUGGGGUACGGGGUCACCCCUUACGUCCAGAAACACGAGCCAGGGAGUUCCCACCUGUGGCGAGCCUAAGGGGGUUAACCCCGGAGGCGUAGGGAAACCGAAGGCCCGCAGCCGGGUAACCGGUGAGGGGCUGGGUCUGUUAAGGGCCCGUAGUCACAGGUGGGAGACCAGAAACCGAGCGAUCUAGCCCGGGGUAGGGUGAAGCGGGGCGAAAGCCCCGUGGAGGCCCGCUAGGGGUUCUGACGUGCAAAUCGUUCCCGUGACCCCGGGCUAGGGGCAAAAGACCAAUCAAGCUCGGUGAUAGCUGGUUCCCCCCGAAGCAGCUCUCAGGCUGGCCUCCCCAAAGGGUGCCCACGGGGUAGAGCACUGAUCCGGGAUGCAGGGGCCGAAAGGCUCCGGUCCCGGGUCAAACUCCGAACCCGCGGGCCCCGUAGAAGGGGGGAGACGGGUUCCCCAGGGGUAAGCUUGGGGGCCGAGAGGGAAACAACCCAGACCGGGGUUAAGGCCCCAAAGUGCGGGCUAAGUGUCAAUCUAGAAGGGUGUCCCCCACCGAAGACGGCGGGACCGUAGGCCCAGCAGCAGCCAUCGGCUAAGCAACGCGUAACAGCGGACCCGCUGAGGUGGGGGGCCCCGAAGACGCACAGGGACUCAAGCCCGCCGCCGAGACCCCGGCCCACGGGCCAUUGGCCCGCGUGGGGUAGGGGGGCGUCGCCGUGGGGCAGAAGCCGGGCCGUGAGGUCCGGUGGACCCGCGGUGAAUGAGGAUCCUGGCGGUAGUAGCAGCGAAGAGGGGUGGGAUACCCCUCCGCCGGAAAGGCUAAGGGUUCCAUGGUAAUGAUCAUCAGCCAUGGGUUAGCCGGUCCUAAGGCGGGGCCUAACUGGCACCCGCCGAAAGGGAAACGGGUUAACAUUCCCGUGCCGUGGGGGUAGGUUUGCGGCAACGCAGGCCCCACCCCCGACGCCUCGGGAUAGGGUGAGUGGGGCUGCCGCCCCAUUUAACCGUCGAAGGCCGGGGAGUGCCGUCAUGGCGAGAACCGGCUGAAGACGGUAAUAGCCGGGCCUUGAGCCUGGUUCACCCGACUCCCGGGGCCCAUGAAAAGGGGGUGGGGAACGAGCCCCCACGACCGUACCGAGAACCGACACAGGUCGCCUGGGUGAGAAGCCCAAGGCGGCUCGGGUCACGCCAGGCUAGGGAACUCGGCAAAUUAGCCCUGUAACCUCGGGAUAAAGGGUGCCCGCGGCCCUGGGUAAACCCCGGAGCCGUGGGUCGCAGUGGCAAGGGGGACCUGACUGUUUAACAAAAACAUAGGUCCCCGCAAGCCCGCAAGGGUUUGUACGGGGGCUGAAUCCUGGCCACUGGCGGUACGUGAAACCCGGGUUCAACCGGGCUAAGCGCCGCUGAAGGCCGGGGGUAAACUCGGCCAUCCGCAGGCCGUAAGGUUUUUUAACCUGUCCCGCAUAGAUCAGUAAAGCAAAUCAUGAACUUGAUAGGCACGGAACAUCCCUCUAAAAAAGAGAAGUUCACCUCCCUCAUUUCCUAACCCUCAUCUUUACCCCCAACGGCCUGCGGAGGCCGGGGCCCAGCUCUGACCCUCUUAACGGGGUGUUUUCCCGCACGUGUUUAAAUGUACAUGGGCGUUAGAGUUAAAUACUAAGGUUGUGUUUGUCCUUCUCCAUGGAGUCGGGUUGCGUGGGUGGCGAUAUUGCCAUAGGGUAUGUUGUUGGCUUUAUUGAUGCGGAGGCCAGUUUCUCGGUGUCGAUAAAGUAUCAGCGGGGAUAUGGUCUGAGGCUAGAUCCUGUCUUCAGCAUUUCGCAAUUAAACAGGGAGCCGCUUGAAAUAAUACACGGCGUAAUUAAUGCAGGGAGGAUAAUCAAGAAACCGGGACAGAAACAUCUAUACCUCUAUAUUGUUGACAAUAUCAAAGAAUUAACAGAAUGCCUAAUACCAUUUUUAGAUAGAUACCGGCAUCUCUUGCACUCAAAAGGUAAGGCUUAUAGUCUAUUUAGGGAAAUCGUGAUCUCGCUGUCUAAAGGGGUGCAUAGAGAAAGGGAGGGGAUGCGGAGGCUCGUGGUACUGGCAUACGAACUUUCACAUGUAAACCCCAAGUCACAUAGGAAAAGACCAAUUGAAGAAGUGUUGAAACUUCUUGAUUACGACUCAGUUCUUAGCUCCUAAUCUUUAUCCCUCUUUUUGCGGGGACCCCCGGGAGGAAGGUAGCCAAAUGCCUUGCCGGGUAUGGGCGACCGCGUGGGGUUCCACGUGGUCGUCCUCCGAGAGUUCCGGCGUGCAUGAAUGGAUCAACGAGGUCCCCACUGUCCCAGCCUGGCGCCCGGCGAACCCACCUCCAGGUGCAGAGUCCUGGGACCCCCCGACGGGGCGAGAAGACCCUGUGGACCUUUACUGCAGCCCGCUGUUGGGGUGGGGGAGGGGGUGCAUAGUGUAGGUGGGAGCGAUGAACCACGGUCUCUGGGCCGUGGGGAUGCGUCAAUGAAACACCACCCAUUCCCUCCUCUGCCCCUAACCCUGGGGCCACCCCU
rnacentral:rRNA from 1 species